GGUUAAGCGACUAAGCGUACACGGUGGAUGCCCUGGCAGUCAGAGGCGAUGAAGGACGUGCUAAUCUGCGAUAAGCGUCGGUAAGGUGAUAUGAACCGUUAUAACCGGCGAUUUCCGAAUGGGGAAACCCAGUGUGUUUCGACACACUAUCAUUAACUGAAUCCAUAGGUUAAUGAGGCGAACCGGGGGAACUGAAACAUCUAAGUACCCCGAGGAAAAGAAAUCAACCGAGAUUCCCCCAGUAGCGGCGAGCGAACGGGGAGCAGCCCAGAGCCUGAAUCAGUGUGUGUGUUAGUGGAAGCGUCUGGAAAGGCGCGCGAUACAGGGUGACAGCCCCGUACACAAAAAUGCACAUGCUGUGAGCUCGAUGAGUAGGGCGGGACACGUGGUAUCCUGUCUGAAUAUGGGGGGACCAUCCUCCAAGGCUAAAUACUCCUGACUGACCGAUAGUGAACCAGUACCGUGAGGGAAAGGCGAAAAGAACCCCGGCGAGGGGAGUGAAAAAGAACCUGAAACCGUGUACGUACAAGCAGUGGGAGCACGCUUAGGCGUGUGACUGCGUACCUUUUGUAUAAUGGGUCAGCGACUUAUAUUCUGUAGCAAGGUUAACCGAAUAGGGGAGCCGAAGGGAAACCGAGUCUUAACUGGGCGUUAAGUUGCAGGGUAUAGACCCGAAACCCGGUGAUCUAGCCAUGGGCAGGUUGAAGGUUGGGUAACACUAACUGGAGGACCGAACCGACUAAUGUUGAAAAAUUAGCGGAUGACUUGUGGCUGGGGGUGAAAGGCCAAUCAAACCGGGAGAUAGCUGGUUCUCCCCGAAAGCUAUUUAGGUAGCGCCUCGUGAAUUCAUCUCCGGGGGUAGAGCACUGUUUCGGCAAGGGGGUCAUCCCGACUUACCAACCCGAUGCAAACUGCGAAUACCGGAGAAUGUUAUCACGGGAGACACACGGCGGGUGCUAACGUCCGUCGUGAAGAGGGAAACAACCCAGACCGCCAGCUAAGGUCCCAAAGUCAUGGUUAAGUGGGAAACGAUGUGGGAAGGCCCAGACAGCCAGGAUGUUGGCUUAGAAGCAGCCAUCAUUUAAAGAAAGCGUAAUAGCUCACUGGUCGAGUCGGCCUGCGCGGAAGAUGUAACGGGGCUAAACCAUGCACCGAAGCUGCGGCAGCGACGCUGAUGCGUUGUUGGGUAGGGGAGCGUUCUGUAAGCCUGCGAAGGUGUGCUGUGAGGCAUGCUGGAGGUAUCAGAAGUGCGAAUGCUGACAUAAGUAACGAUAAAGCGGGUGAAAAGCCCGCUCGCCGGAAGACCAAGGGUUCCUGUCCAACGUUAAUCGGGGCAGGGUGAGUCGACCCCUAAGGCGAGGCCGAAAGGCGUAGUCGAUGGGAAACAGGUUAAUAUUCCUGUACUUGGUGUUACUGCGAAGGGGGGACGGAGAAGGCUAUGUUGGCCGGGCGACGGUUGUCCCGGUUUAAGCGUGUAGGCUGGUUUUCCAGGCAAAUCCGGAAAAUCAAGGCUGAGGCGUGAUGACGAGGCACUACGGUGCUGAAGCAACAAAUGCCCUGCUUCCAGGAAAAGCCUCUAAGCAUCAGGUAACAUCAAAUCGUACCCCAAACCGACACAGGUGGUCAGGUAGAGAAUACCAAGGCGCUUGAGAGAACUCGGGUGAAGGAACUAGGCAAAAUGGUGCCGUAACUUCGGGAGAAGGCACGCUGAUAUGUAGGUGAGGUCCCUCGCGGAUGGAGCUGAAAUCAGUCGAAGAUACCAGCUGGCUGCAACUGUUUAUUAAAAACACAGCACUGUGCAAACACGAAAGUGGACGUAUACGGUGUGACGCCUGCCCGGUGCCGGAAGGUUAAUUGAUGGGGU
rnacentral:rRNA from 1 species